rnacentral:rRNA from 1 species
CCUACGGGAGGCAGCAGUGAGGAAUAUUGGUCAAUGGCCGGAAGGCUGAACCAGCCAUGCCGCGUGAAGGUCAGUGCCCUAUGGGCGUUAAACUUCUUUUGUGCGGGAGCAAUAAUGGUCACGUGUGGCCAGACGAGAGUACCGUACGAAUAAGCAUCGGCUAACUCCGUGCCAGCAGCCGCGGUAAUACGGGGGAUGCGAGCGUUAGCCGGAUUCAUAGGGUUUAAAGGGUGCGUAGGUGGUUAAUUAAGUUAGCGGUGAAAGUUUGUGGCUCAACCAUAAAAUUGCAGUUGAAACUGGUUGACUAGAGUAUAUUUGAGAGAGGCAGAAUGCGUGGUGUAGCGGUGAAAUGUAUAGAGAUCACGAAGAACUCCGAGUGCGAAGGCAGCUUACUAAGCUAUAACUGACGCUGAAGCACGAAAGCGUGGGGAUCAAACAGGAUUAGAUACCCUUGUAGUC